rnacentral:lncRNA from 1 species
AGAUGGGUGGGUGCAAGGGAGGAGAAGGAGACAUCAGGUGGCGGCAAUCAACAGAAAAGAUCGACUUAAUGUGAUCAGCCCUCAUGUUGUUCUUGUCAGCAUCUUGGGAGUGUGCUUGAUCUAAUUAAAUCCUUUGGUCUCUAAAGCACCCAGCUGAGGUCUGCAUCCCAUCAGCAGUUGCUGGCAGCAUUGCUUGCAGGUCCGGGCAGGCAGAGAAACUUGAAGUUCCCCACAUCAUUACUCUUGUCCAGGCUCAGUGCACAGAACAUCUUGGGUGUCCAGCAGUGCAAACUUCAGCCAAUGCGACAGCGAAAGUUGGACGUUUCAGUCCUUCUGAAGCAGAAAGCUCACAUCUUUAUCCAUUUCCAUAUGAAAGAUCAUUAGUGACAUACCCAAAGCUAGAGGUGGUUUUGACAACAUGACCCUCUUCGUUCUAGUUCCCUGAUCCAAGACCUCAGGGCAACAUGGAGUCACAGCCUUGGUGCUGGAAUACAUCUGAUUCAUGGUGAGACUUCCAAGCAUUAGCCAUUGCAUAGAUUCAUUGGAUCAUAGUGUCAUAAAGGUUGGAAGAGACCUCUCGGAUAGUCAAGUCUGACCACCAGCCCAUCCCCACCUGCCUGCUGGGCCAUGUUCCUGAGAGGCAGGUUGCUUCUAGCUCUUUUGGCAAUGUAAAGCUCUUGAUGUUCUCUGGCUUGCUAAGCUUAUACAGGUUUUUUUGUAAGAAAAGUAGAAUUUUUUUUUUUAUUAUUUUUUUUUUUUUUUGAUGCUGUAUUGCAUUUCUUGUGUUACAAUAGCUUUUCCUUGCCGUAGCCAUGGGUUUUGUUAAUUACUGGCUUGGUGUCUAAAUUUGACUCUGAAUUGUUGUAUCUUCAUUGUCUGAAGUGUUUCCACAUGAUCUAACAUGAGAUAACUGUUCCACAUGAGAUAACUGGCUGUUAUCUCAGAGUGCAUGUAUAGUCAGGAGAGAACUCAUUUAGGGCACAGGGAAACAGCAAAAUAAUAGUUUCUUCCCAGAAAGAAAAAAAAAAAAAAAAAAAAGCCUUGUGCUAACCACAAGUGGGAAGGCAUUGCAGAUGAAUAAACACAGAUUUUACCCUGCUACA